rnacentral:rRNA from 6 species
AAUCCAUAGGUUAAUGAGGCGAACCGGGGGAACUGAAACAUCUAAGUACCCCGAGGAAAAGAAAUCAACCGAGAUUCCCCCAGUAGCGGCGAGCGAACGGGGAGGAGCCCAGAGCCUGAAUCAGCAUGUGUGUUAGUGGAAGCGUCUGGAAAGGCGCGCGAUACAGGGUGACAGCCCCGUACACAAAAGCGCAUGUGCUGUGAGCUCGAUGAGUAGGGCGGGACACGUGGUAUCCUGUCUGAAUAUGGGGGGACCAUCCUCCAAGGCUAAAUACUCCUGACUGACCGAUAGUGAACCAGUACCGUGAGGGAAAGGCGAAAAGAACCCCGGCGAGGGGAGUGAAAAAGAACCUGAAACCGUGUACGUACAAGCAGUGGGAGCACAGGUUUACCUGUGUGACUGCGUACCUUUUGU